ACAAUGUGAAAUUAAUUAAAUCCUUUCCUUGUGGAUUAUUUAUUAGACUAAUUUCCAACGCAUUUGAUGAAUUAAAUAAUUGAUACAAGUCCAAUCCAAUAAAGAAUAAAUUGUGGAGUACACAAUUUAAAUAAAAUUCUAACAGGGUCUUGAGCCCAAACGUAUACUUAUUCAAAUAAUAUCCCUGGCCCAAUCCUAUUUCCUUUUGAGCCCAAUACUCUAAAUUCUUCCUUCCACCAUCAGGAGCCCUUCUCCUCACCCUUCACGUGAAUCCUCAUUUCUACAGAGAAACAUCUUUCAAAUUUCAAAAUUCAGUCAAAGCAAUUAAUCCCAAAUUGAUUAAGCAAUCAAAUACAAAAAAUUCUCCCCUCCCACGUCCCAGCAAUUACGUCUCAGCAAUUACUCCCUCUUCACCCAUUCCUGCAAAUCUUUCCUAAUUUUGGACGCAAUCAAAGUGAAAUCAAGCACCAAAAAUUGCUCUCAGUACACAGAUAUAUAAAUCUUCCUACCCUAAUCUCCUUCCCUCACACAAAUUCGCAGCCACUCACUUCUCACUGUUGAAUCGCAAAGCGGCGGAGGGAGCAGUAGGAAGAAACUUUAUUUUUCCUCACCGAAUCCUAAUUCCAUCACGGUAACCACUCUCUCAUCCUCCUUUCAUGUUCUUCCUCAUAAAAUGAAAUAUCGUUUACCCCAAAGCCUUCUGACAGAAACUAGGAUCGAUUCGAGAGGGGGACAAGCCAGAAACUGCAAUCUUUUGUUUCAAUCCAAUCUGUUCUUUUGAAGGUGAAUCCUCGCAAGCGAAACGUGAUACCAAGGGGAAGAAAAUACUUGUGAUCUAAGCAGUCGAGGCUGCCAAAAAAGUGUAUGAAAGUCUUCUAGGGGAUGGCGUGAAUGCAACAGCAUUAUCUCACAUCCAGGUUUAAAUUUGUUUUGCCUGUAUUUGCAGUACAGCAGUUAUUCAGAAAGCAGAAGAGAAAACUCACAUUACUGGUAACUGCUGAAGAACAAUCAGAAAUAGAACUUACCUAAUACAUGGAUAUCCUGCAAAUCUGAAUCGACAAGGAUGUUGUGUUUAGAUUUAAUCCUUGCGUGCUAGAGCGUUUUAAAAUGUAAAUGGAAUUCAUCAAGUUAAGUCUGUU